GGUGGAGCAGUCUGGUAGCUCGUCGGGCUCAUAACCCGAAGGUCGCGGGUUCGAAUCCCGCCCCCGCC
rnacentral:tRNA from 1 species